rnacentral:rRNA from 1 species
UACGGAGGGUGCAAGCGUUGUCCGGAAUUAUUGGGUUUAAAGGGUGCGUAGGCGGUCUUUUAAGUCCGAGUUGAAAUCCCAUGGCUCAACCAUGGAACUGGCUCGGAUACUGGAAGACUUGAAUACACUAGAGGUAUGCGGAAUUUAUGAUGUAGCGGUGAAAUGCAUAGAUAUCAUAAAGAACACCGAUAGCGAAGGCAGCAUACUGGGGUGUUAUUGACGCUGAGGCACGAAAGCGUGGGGAGCGAACAGG